rnacentral:rRNA from 1 species
GAUAAACGCUGGCGGCGUGCCUAAUACAUGCAAGUCGAGCGAACAGACGAGGAGCUUGCUCCUCUGAUGUUACCGGCGGACGGGUGAGUAACACGUAGCUAACCUACCUAUAAGACUGGGAUAACUUCGGGAAACCGGAGCUAAUACCGGAUAACAUGUUGAACCGCAUGGUUCAACAGUGAAAGACGGUCUUGAUGUCACUUAUAGAUGGAUCCGCGCCGGAUUAGCUAGUUGGUAAGGUAACGGCUUACCAAGGCAACGAUGCGUAGCCGACCUGAGAGGGUGAUCGGCCACACUGGAACUGAGACACGGUCCAGACUCCUACGGGAGGCAGCAGUAGGGAAUCUUGCGCAAUGGGCGAAAGCCUGACGGAGCAACGCCGCGUGAGUGAAGAAGGUCUUCGGAUCGUAAAACUCUGUUAGUAGGGAAGAACAAAUGUGUAAGUAACUAUGCACGUCUUGACGGUACCUAAUCAGAAAGCCACGGCUAACUACGUG